UCCAACAGGAAGUUUUUUAAUCAUUCAAGAAGACAGUUAAAGACAGUAAAUUUAAUAUACAUGCCCUGUUUAACUUCUUUUACCGCCUAUAGGGGACGUAGAUUUUUAACUUUCCUAGUUGAUUUAAACUCAAAGCAUGAAGACUACGUAUGCGAAUGUUUACUUAAUGCUGCACUCUGGGCUACAGGAAGUCAGCUACUAAAGUGUAGUUACAUUAGGCGUAGAUAUUUAUAAACCAACUGCAACUAGUGACCUAGGAUUCAAUUACAACACCAACCCUCGUAUUUCAGCGUAUGGGCAAAUUACCAGUGGAGUCAAGAAUAAAUUCAUUCUGCCCUACUGACGCUUUAGAUCGGGUUGCACAAUCUCGGGGCAGAACUGCCUUCGUCUAGCCCUAAAGCAUCAGGUACUAAAUACUGUACUAAGUUAGCGUCAGGACAUUUUAAAGCGGGAAGGAAACUCAAGGGUCGCCUGAACCAACUUAGCCAGCCCAUAAUCCCGAAUUCAGGAAUUUGUCACGUCACUUGAGAUCAGAACGAAAUUAAGUUUUGAUCCCUUUGAGAUCUCUUAGCGCACAAAGUCAGGCUAUCACUACAAGGGGAGUCCGACCCUGGCUGUAGAAAAACUACUUGGUGCGGAACUCGAGUCUCUUCCGCCCACCGUGGGGGACCGCACCGGUCAGGUCCAGCGAGGAGCCCCGCCGCGAGUUUGGGGGCGCAGCCGGGCCCGGCGGGGGCGGCGAGCGCGCGUCCCCCCGCCCGCUCAGGCAGCGUCGAGGCGCGAGCAGCUCAGCCACCCUUGCAGAGGGAGCUCUCGACAGCUCUGGGGUCCCUCUGCUCGCAGCCGCAGCAGCGCCGCCUGCGCCACUCGGCGGAGACGGAGACCAGCGGCGGCGGUGCGCGGACUGGGAGCGACCGCCAAGCAGCCGAGCGGCAGGGGUAUGCUCGCAAAGCGGCCGGGAAACAGGGAUAUGUCCUAUUUCAUGGAAUUGACUCCAAAGACCAAGAAAUGGAGAGCCAAACCAAAAGGAGAGGAUGCUUCAGGCUGGACAGAAACAAGCUGAGAGCAAAAGCUUUGAAAACAGGAGGAAGAAGAGUGGGAGACAGGAGAAAAGAUUCAGAUGCAAGAUGCCCAAGGACCCCAGUUUGAGAAGUGCUUAACCUCCUCUCUCUCCUUGAAGACCUGGUGCUGUGCACCCUACACUAGCAAAAACCACCACUGGGCAACCCACCUCCCAGGCUUCUCUGUGCCUGCACCUGCUGGAACUGAGCUGGAACCACAGAGCAAUUCUCUCAACCUCAGCCAGGCUCUCAUUUCCCACCGGGGAAAUCCUCAUGUGUGGCCCUCCUCAGCUUUCUUCCUUCUCACAGAUGAUGAGUGUUUCAGACUUUCUCCACAAGCCUCAAACAAGCUCAAGUCACUGCCACAUAAAAAAUGAAAACAACCCUGGCAACUGCCAAAAUGCCCAUCCGUAGAUAAUGGAACCUAUACAGCAAAAAGAAUGGACAAUAUAUAACUGCACACAGCAAUAUGGAUGAAUCCUACAGACAUAAAGAAGCAGCAGGACCACAAGAGAGGACAUGUGUAUGGUUCCCUUGAUAUGAAAGUUCAAAAACAGGCAGAACUCAUCUAUGGUGAUAAAAGUCUGAAUACUAGUUACCCUUUGGGAGUCGUUACUGGAAGGGGGCGCAAGGGGGCUUCCAGGGUGCUGGUAAUGUUCUGUAUUUCCUAAUCUGGGUUCUAUUUCCUGAUCCUAUGUGGGUGUGUUCCCUUGUGAAAAAUGGGCUGAGCUGUACACUUAGGACAUGCACCCUCUCUGUAGGUAUAUUUUAAUAUAAAGUUGACUUUAAUAACUCCAAAAUGAAAUGACUCUUCUGUGGACCUCACGUCUCUUUCCAGCGACCCCACCCAUGGUUCCAUUUGGCCUUUUCAGAGUCAAAUUUCUUGAAGAGAUGUCUACCUCGAUUUCCUCUCCAUGACCAGCCAGUUCUCUUCCCACUCUGGUCCACCUUCCACACCCACCACUCCCCUGACUGGUCAGUGACCUCCCUGUUGCUGAAUCCAGUGUCCAAGGCCUAGUCCUUAUCAUGCUUGAUCUCAGUAAAGCUUUUCACUUCUGUGGCUCUCUUCCUCUUCUUUGAGCCCUUGAAUUUCAAGAGGCAACAACAUGCUCCUGGUUUUCUACCUAUCUCUCUCUGGCUGGACAUCUUAUUUUCCCACAGGAGAUCUGUCUUUCUCAUCAUCCCAGAAUGGGCCUCAGCCUCCUCACUCUUGGGCUGGGUACAUCUCCCACACCUCAAUACCAUCUAAACGUUGCCAACUUUCUUAUCUCUUCCUUGCCCAAACGGCUCUUCUGAGCACCAGGCCUCUGUAGCCAACUGCCUGCUUGUCACCUCCCCGGAAGCUGAGCGACAAUGCAGAGUGGGCUAUUGGGGGAUGUGCUGCGUUUGAGGUCCCCAAGCUGAAUCCACCAAUUUCCUUCUCAAACUUGACUCUCCCCAGUCAACCUCUCUGUGGCAGCCCCAGCCCCUCUUUACCCAGUUGUUCAAGACAGAAACUAGGAGUCAUCCUGGAUGCCUCUGUCUCUGUUACCCCCACAUCCACUCAGCCGCCCACUCCUGCCAUCUCUGGAAACUGCUCCCCUCACCUCCACUCCCAUAGUUAGAAUUCGAGUCCAAGCUGUCACCGCCUCUCAUCUAGAACCCUACUGCAGCCUCCUAAUGGGCUCCCUGUCUCCACUGUAACCCACGAUGACCCAUUCUUUUUUUUUUCUUAAGGGUAUCAAGCUUUAUUUUACAUGACUGCCUACAUUUUUUUUUUUUUUAAGUAAGCUCUGCGCCCAACGUGGGGCUUGAACUCGAGACCCCGAGAUCAAGAGUUGCAUGCUCUACUAACUGAGCCCACAGGUGCCCCCUGCACUGUUUAUUCAAUAACAACAUUGCUCUUCUUAAAAUUCCAGUCAUCUCCCAAUGCCAAAAACCGUGCUUUGACAAGUGCUUUCUAUAGGCCAGGCCCUGCGCUUAAUUAACAAACAUCAUCUCAUUUAAUUCUGGUAACAACCCUAACAGGGGUAAAUCUUAUUAGCCCCAUCUUGCAGAUGAGAAACCUGAGACUAACUGGCUGUGUGACCUCGGGCAUGCCAUUUCUUAACCUUUUUGGGCUUCGGAUAUCCCUCUGUUAAAUGAGCAUAAUAACAACAACAAUGGUCUCCCAGGGCUGUUGGGAGUUUGAAAUUAGCUACUUCUCUCUCUAGGGAGUGUUUGGGGAAGGGAAAAUUGUAUGUGGGGUAGGGAAGUUGGGGUGGGCACACUACCACACUUUGAGCACACAACAAAUAUUAACUGCUGUUAUUAAUAAUCACUAAUCUGCCCAAGAUUACACAGCUGGUAAGUGGGAGGGCCAGGAUUCAAAUCCAGACAGUCAGACCCCAGGACUCUGAGUCUUUAACAUCCCUCUCUCUGACUCUUGUGAAACAUCCAUGGGUGACUCCCUACCCCAGGGAUAAAGUCUAGAUUCUCUGACAUGACCCCCAACACCCUUCAGCCUCUGUGCCUCCCCACAUAUACCUUCAACCAGUCCUCCACUCAGUCCCCCUGCUCCUCUCAUGGUCUUUCUGUUCCAGCUACUGUGACCCUCUCAAAACCUGCAAGGCUCUUCAGCCUUUAAGCAACAACCUCCAUUGCUCCUGUAUCCUCCUCCCAUACUCUCAACCUGAACAACUCCCUCUCUUUUUUCAUGUCUUACCCUAUGACUUCUUCCCGGAAGCCUGCCCUGGGUUGGUUCCCCCUUUCAGGCGCCUCAUAGCUUCCUUCCUCUGACCCCUAAGACCACAUAGCUCAGUUGUCAGUUCUCCUUUAGUAUCUGUCUUCCAACCAGACUGUGAACUCUGGAAUCAGGGGCCUGUUUGUGGGGUUCACUGCUGUGCCCUCUGGGCCCCACACCAGGGAGAUGAGGGAGGGGGCUGAGUGAACCGGGCUGCCCGGACACAGGAAGAGCAGAUCCUGGGCUGUUGAAGGGGUAGAUUUUAAGUCUGUGCCCACCCCAACUCCCCUAUCCUGCAUACAAUCUUCCUUGUCCCUUCCCCACUUGCUGAUUAUAUCAGCAAGUAGCGUUCUGCUCCCUGGGCAUAAGGCAGGGUGGGGACCCUGGGAUUCUGGAACUGAGUGGGUAGGCUAGAAUCAGAGUAGGCUCACUGUCCUAACACUUUUCUUUCUCUGACUAGGGCUCUGCUGCCACCAACUCCCUAGUCCCUGACAGGGACCAGGAUGUUGGUCUGCACUCUCGCCAAAUGACCAUCAGAAUAUCCACCUGAAAUGUGACCAUUUCAGCAGGUGGAAAGGCAGGAUCUUCCCUGCUGCAGGGGAGAGAAAGAGCUGAACCCCUCUGAGCUAAGGGAGAGGGCCCACCUUAACUGGCAGGGGCUGAAUGAUGGGAGCCAGGGGACUCUCUGGACUCAUGGCAGCCCUGAAGUCUGUUCUGGACAUGGGAAAGAUCCCAGGUCCCAAAAGUUAUGGGGCCUGCAGCACAGCCAGCUCCAGGCAGAAGGGAAUGGAGCCCCGGAGGCCUGCAUGGCCCCAGAUUCCUCCACCCCCAAUACCCUCUAUGCCAAAAGUGGUGCACUUGUGUGGGACGGGAGGUCCCACCACCUGCACUGCCCAGCUCAGCGGUAUGCCCGGCCAGGCCAGCAGCCUAGCCAGGAGUCCCCGGUCCAGCCCCGCCCAGGCGCGGGGCUGCCCCAGACUGAGGUAAACAGACGCUAAAAAUAACCGGGGCAAGGGGCGGCUGCAAGAAUGGGGUCCCUAACCGAACCUGUCCGGGUCUCCAUGGCGACUGCCCCCAACCCCGGCUGCUGACGUCAUGCCGCAGCUGCCUGAGCGGGAGGGAGGGGGGAGCGCGCGCACGCGCGCGCGCGCGCGCAGCCUAGGACCCCCCACCCCGGAACGAGGCGGAGGCGGCCGGGUGGCUUCACUUCCUGCCGGCCCCCUCCCUGGUCAGCUGGUCACAUUCCCCGGCUGGCGGCGCCCUGGAAGCCUGGUGCAGGGCCUGGCAGGGUCGGGAGUCCCCAGCCGCAGUGAAGGGCCAGGGUUGACUGAACCUCGUCCUCCUCACCUGCCUUUCCACCCAGGGUGCACCCAGCCUGGCUCCCCGCGUGCGCCCCUCACCCCCACCCAAAUCAGGCCUCCAUCUCUGGCUGCUGCCCCACAGAACCCAGGAGGGGGAGGGGGGGUGGGAGUGGAAGCUAAGCCAGGCCUCCUUGUCCCGCUGGAGUAUUUUGUACCUCAUUGUUCGAUUCUCAUUCCCCACACCCUCUUCGUGCCACAAAGGUGGUAGGGCCAUGGCAAAAAUUCAGGUCUGGUUCUAGUUCCCACUUCUCCCUAAGCCAGUAUGUGUGACCUUGAGAAUAUUACUUAACCUCUCUGGGCCUGCUUCUGCAUCUGUCAGAUUGCUAUAACCCUCCUCAGAAGGCUGUGCUGAUGUGAAUGCUGCAGGCCCAGGGUGAGGUCCCACAGAUGGUGGCCAAGGCACCUUUGUUAUAUGAGACUGCACACAGUAGGUGCUCCGCCAGCUCGCCUGGACCCGAAUUAGGACCAGUCCAGUAGAACUGGCUAGGAAGGGUCAGUUCUGGAGACUGGACUCAGGCCUCAACAGGGAGAGGACAGAGGGUGCCCAGGGCAGACUUAGCCGAUCCCUAGCCUUGGUGAGCAGCUUCUUCCCCAAAACAGUUCUGCAGGGUGCCCAAGCCUGGCUGCUUGCAGACAGACCCCGCAUCA